GUCCACGCCGUAAACGAUGGGUGCUAGGUGUGGGGGUGUCGACUCCCUCCGUGCCGAAGCUAACGCAUUAAGCACCCCGCCUGGGGAGUACGGCCGCAAGGCUAAAACUCAAAGGAAUUGACGGGGCCCGCACAAGCAGCGGAGCAUGUGGUUUAAUUCGACGCAACGCGAAGAACCUUACCUAGGCUUGACAUGCACGGGAAUGUCGUGGAAACACGGCAGCCCUUCGGGGCUCGUGCACAGGUGUUGCAUGGCUGUCGU
rnacentral:rRNA from 1 species